rnacentral:rRNA from 1 species
GACGAAGGAUGCAAGCGUUAUCCGGAUUCAUUGGGUUUAAAGGGAGCGUAGGUGGACUUGUAAGUCAGUGGUGAAAUCUUUGGGCUUAACCCAGAAACUGCCAUUGAUACUGCAGGUCUAGAGUACAGUUGCCGUUGGCGGAAUAUGACAUGUAGUGGUGAAAUACUUAGAUAUGUCAUAGAACACCGAUUGCGAAAGGCAGCUAACGAAGCUGUAACUGACACUGAGGCUCGAAAGUGCGGGGAUCAAACAGG